rnacentral:rRNA from 1 species
GUACUCCUACGGGAGGCAGCAGUAGGGAAUCUUCCACAAUGGGCGAAAGCCUGAUGGAGCAACGCCGCGUGGGUGAAGAAGGUCUUCGGAUCGUAAAACCCUGUUGUUAGAGAAGAAAGUGCGUGAGAGUAACUGUUCACAUUUCGACGGUAUCUAACCAGAAAGCCACGGCUAACUACGUGCCAGCAGCCGCGGUGAUACGUAGGUGGCAAGCGUUAUCCGGAUUUAUUGGGCGUAAAGG